rnacentral:rRNA from 1 species
GACGAACGCUGGCGGCGUGCCUAAUACAUGCAAGUCGAGCGAACCAAUAAGAAGCUUGCUUUUUGUUGGUUAGCGGCGGACGGGUGAGUAACACGUGGGUAACCUGCCUGUAAGACCGGGAUAACUCCGGGAAACCGGUGCUAAUACCGGAUAGCUUAUCUUUCCGCAUGGAGCGAUAAGGAAAGAUGGCUAUUGCCAUCACUUACAGCUGGGCCCGCGGCGCAUUAGCUAGUUGGUGAGGUAACGGCUCACCAAGGCGACGAUGCGUAGCCGACCUGAGAGGGUGAUCGGCCACACUGGGACUGAGACACGGCCCAGACUCCUACGGGAGGCAGCAGUAGGGAAUCUUCCGCAAUGGACGAAAGUCUGACGGAGCAACGCCGCGUGAGCGAAGAAGGUCUUCGGAUCGUAAAGCUCUGUUGUUAGGGAAGAACAAGUAUCGGAGGAAAUGCCGGUACCUUGACGGUACCUGAAGAGAAAGCCACGGCUAACUACGUG